rnacentral:rRNA from 1 species
GGCUCAGGACGAACGCUGGCGGCGCGCUUAACACAUGCAAGUCGAACGAAGCUUGAUUACGGAUUCUUCGGAUGAAGUAUGAUAUGACUGAGUGGCGGACGGGUGAGUAACGCGUGAGUAACCUGCCCUUCAGAGGGGGAUAGCGUUUGGAAACGAACGGUAAUACCGCAUAAUGUAUUUUGACCGCAUGAUCGAAAUACCAAAGAUUUAUCGCUGAAGGAUGGACUCGCGUCUGAUUAGGUAGUUGGUGGGGUAACGGCCUACCAAGCCGACGAUCAGUAGCCGGACUGAGAGGUUGAUCGGCCACAUUGGGACUGAGACACGGCCCAGACUCCUACGGGAGGCAGCAGUGGGGAAUAUUGCACAAUGGGCGCAAGCCUGAUGCAGCAACGCCGCGUGAAGGAAGACGGUUUUCGGAUUGUAAACUUCUGUUCUUAGUGAAGAAUAAUGACGGUAGCUAAGGAGCAAGCCACGGCUAACUACGUGCCAGCAGCCGCGGUAAUACGUAGGUGGCAAGCGUUGUCCGGAAUUACUGGGUGUAAAGGGAGCGCAGGCGGGUGAUCAAGUCAGCUGUGAAAACUACGGGCUUAACCCGUAGACUGCAGUUGAAACUGUUCAUCUUGAGUGAAGUAGAGGUUGGCGGAAUUCCGAGUGUAGCGGUGAAAUGCGUAGAUAUUCGGAGGAACACCGGUGGCGAAGGCGGCCAACUGGGCUUUAACUGACGCUGAGGCUCGAAAGUGUGGGGAGCAAACAGGAUUAGAUACCCUGGUAGUCCACACUGUAAACGAUGAUUGCUAGGUGUGGGGGGUCUGACCCCUUCCGUGCCGGAGCUAACGCAAUAAGCAAUCCACCUGGGGAGUACGACCGCAAGGUUGAAACUCAAAGGAAUUGACGGGGGACUCGCACAAGCAGUGGAAUUAUGUGGGUUUAUUUCGAAGCAACGCGAAAAACCUUACCAGCCUUUGACUUCCACUAACGAAAUAAAGAUUUAUUAGGUGCCCUUCCGGAAAGUUGAAACAAGUGGUGCAUGGUUGUCUCCACUCGGGUCCGGAGAUGUUUGUUUAAUCCCGCAACGAACCCAACCUUCCCUAUAUUGUUCCCAAAACCUCUUAUUGGACCUUACCAAAAGGUGAGAAGGGGGGGACA